GGCUUAUGAAUUUAUUAAAAAUUUGGCUCAUGCCAAAACUCAUUCUCGGGGAUACCUUGGCUGGGGCAUCCAACUGAGUCCGUCAAGGCUAUUAAAGAAAAGUUCAUAUAUGCAUAAAACACAUUUUUAUGUUUAAAAGCAUAGUCGUUCCUUGGUGUUGGCUGAGUUCACCCUCACGUGGUGGUUUAGCGUGUAGUGAACUCUAAAGCUUUACCUCAGGAGAUACCCUCUGCACCUCUCGUACCGAGAUAAAAUAUAAACGGGUUUACCGUGCGCCUCUCUAAUAGGUUGGUCCACGGAAACCCACCACUGCAGUGACUAAUCAAUAUCCCACCAAAUCAAUAAAAGUUUCGACAGCAUGACAUGGCAAUUAUAUUACUACCCAGGCUGUUAAGGCAAAACAAACAGUUCAUACAAUUUCAACACAAUUUCCAAUUCAGCCAUUCAUGCCAAUAUCACCAUAAGCCAUUCAAUUCAAACCAUAAAUUUACAACACAAUCAAAUAGUCUCCAAUUAUUCAAUUUCAAAAUCAUUUAUAAAACUCAUUUCAUUUAAUCACAUUUUACUUAUAAAACAUAAGGAUUUACCAUUUAAACUCAUUUUUCUAUAAAAUCAUAAAAAGGAAUAAAAACUACUUUAGAUAAUUAAGACGAUAAUAAGGUUACUCACAAUAUUGGGAGUCAAAGUACUCCUAGUCCUGAUCUUCAAGUACAAUCUCCUUACCGUUAUCGAAAGUUUCACCACCAAAACAUAAUGCACAACAAGCAAUUUACUAUUUUUGUACUAAACCGUUACAAAGCUAAUUUAGGCUCUAUAUGAAUGCAUGAAAUGGGAUGCGAAAUGUUUUGAUUAUUAUCUAAAUAUGGUGUUCUACGUAGCUUCAUUUAUGUAUCGAAUAAAAUGGUAUUGGCCUAAUUCGAUCUAUACACCAGUUAAUUGGCCAAUACAUCCAAUUCAACUCCAAUUAACUUAAUUCCACUUCCAACACUCCAAGUCAUCAAUUACAAGUUAAAUAAUAUGUAAUAUCAUAAAAAUCCAUCAUCAAUAUCUUCCUUGUAAAAUUUGGCCAUUAAAGGUUUAGUGUAGAACAUAUAAUUUUCAUGCUUGAUUUUUACACCUUACAUCAUAAAACAACUAAAAACACCUAAAUAGCAUGAAUUUCAUCAAAGUCCAUUAUCCAAUUUCUCUCUUGAAAUUUCAGCCAAGGAGUGUGGGUGAAGGGCAUGAAAUUUCUUGCUUGUUUUUCAUGCUAAACAUCACCAAACAAUUAAAAACACUAAGAUACCUUGAAAUCUAACCAAAUAAAUCAUCAAAUCUUCUCUCCCUAAAUUCGGUCAGCCAUGAAUCCUUCAUGAGAUCUUGAAUUUUAACCAUAAUAAUUGAAAAAGAAUGCAUAGGAAAGGUAGAUCACAAGUUAGAAUUAAGAAAUUUUACCUUGACUUGCUUAAUUCCUUGAAAUCUAAUGAAUUUUCUCUUGAUUUUCUUCUCUAGGGUUUGUUUUGUGCUUUUUCCCUUUUGUUCUUGCCUUGGCCG
rnacentral:lncRNA from 1 species